AGAGAAUUGACCGAGUGGUCUAAGGUGGUAAGUUUGAGUUUUAUUUGGUCUAACGAUCACAUCCGUUCGAAUCGGAUAUUCUCUG
rfam:Togninia minima TCRPA7 unplaced genomic scaffold PA7_03_scaffold_397, whole genome shotgun sequence.